rnacentral:rRNA from 1 species
GAUGAACGCUAGCGAUAGGCUUAACACAUGCAAGUCGAGCGGAGCGGCGGACGGGUGAGUAAUGCCUAGGAAUCUGCCUGGUAGUGGGGGAUAACGUCCGGAAACGGGCGCUAAUACCGCAUACUAUCAGAUGAGCCUAGGUCGGAUUAGCUAGUUGGUGGGGUAAAGGCCGACCAAGGCGACGAUCCGUAACUGGGCUGAGAGGAUGAGCAGCCACACUGGAAAUGAGACACGGUCCAGACUCCUACGGGAGGCAGCAGGGGGGAAUAUUGGACAAUGGGCGAAAGCCUGAUCCAGCCAUGCCGCGUGUGUGAAGAAGGUCUUCGGAUUGGAAAGCACUUUAAGUUGGGAGGCGUUACCAACAGAAUAAGCACCGGCUAACUUCGUGCCAGCAGCCGCGGUAAUAC